rnacentral:rRNA from 1 species
UAACGAAUCUUGUCCAAUGGGCGCAAGCCUGAGACAGCAAUGCCGCGUGCGGGACGAAGUCCUUCGGGAUGUAAACCGCUGUCAGGGGUCGCCAAGCGACCCGGGUGAAUAAUCCGGGAAGUUGAGGAGCCCCAGAGGAAGCCACGGCUAACUUCGUGCCAGCAGCCGCGGUAAUACGAAGGUGGCGAGCGUUAUUCGGAAUCACUGGGCUUAAAGAGCACGUAGGCGGGUUGUCAAGCGUUUUGUGAAAUCCCUCGGCUUAACCGAGGAACUGCUUGGCGAACUGGCAACCUUGAGGCAAGUAAGGGCGCGCGGAACUCUUGGUGGAGCGGUGGAAUGCGUAGAUAUCAAGAGGAACGCCGGAGGUGAAGACGGCGCGCUGGGCUUGUCCUGACGCUGAGGUGCGAAAGCCAGGGGAGCGAACG